rnacentral:rRNA from 1 species
UCGGGAAUAUUGCGCAAUGGAGGAAACUCUGACGCAGUGACGCCGCGUGCAGGAAGAAGGUUUUCGGAUUGUAAACUGCUUUAGACAGGGAAGAAAAAAGACAGUACCUGUAGAAUAAGCUCCGGCUAACUACGUGCCAGCAGCCGCGGUAAUACGUAGGGAGCAAGCGUUAUCCGGAUUUAUUGGGUGUAAAGGGUGCGUAGACGGGAAGACAAGUUAGUUGUGAAAUCCCUCGGCUUAACUGAGGAACUGCAACUAAAACUAUCAUUCUUGAGUGCUGGAGAGGAAAGUGGAAUUCCUAGUGUAGCGGUGAAAUGCGUAGAUACUAGGAGGAACACCAGUGGCGAAGGCGACUUACUGGACUGUAACUGACGUUGAGGCACGAAAGUGUGGGGAGCAAACAGGAUUAGAUACC